rnacentral:rRNA from 1 species
AGUGAACGCUGGCGGUAGGCCUAACACAUGCAAGUCGAACGGCAGCACAGUAAGAGCUUGCUCUUACGGGUGGCGAGUGGCGGACGGGUGAGGAAUACAUCGGAAUCUACUUUUUCGUGGGGGAUAACGUAGGGAAACUUACGCUAAUACCGCAUACGACCUACGGGUGAAAGCAGGGGAUCUUCGGACCUUGCGCGAUUGAAUGAGCCGAUGUCGGAUUAGCUAGUUGGCGGGGUAAAGGCCCACCAAGGCGACGAUCCGUAGCUGGUCUGAGAGGAUGAUCAGCCACACUGGAACUGAGACACGGUCCAGACUCCUACGGGAGGCAGCAGUGGGGAAUAUUGGACAAUGGGCGAAAGCCUGAUCCAGCCAUACCGCGUGAGUGAAGAAGGCCUUCGGGUUGUAAAGCCCUUUUGUUGGGAAAGAAAAACAGCAUGUUAAUACCCCGCUGUUCUGACGGUACCCAAAGAAUAAGCACCGGCUAACUUCGUG